GGGGAUAACUACUGGAAACGGUAGCUAAUACCGCAUAACGUCGCAAGACCAAAGAGGGGGACCUUCGGGCCUCUUGCCAUCGGAUGUGCCCAGAUGGGAUUAGCUUGUUGGUGGGGUAACGGCUCACCAAGGCGACGAUCCCUAGCUGGUCUGAGAGGAUGACCAGCCACACUGGAACUGAGACGCGGUCCAGACUCCUACGGGAGGCAGCAGUGGGGAAUAUUGCACAAUGGGCGCAAGCCUGAUGCAGCCAUGCCGCGUGUAUGAAGAAGGCCUUCGGGUUGUAAAGUACUUUCAGCGGGGAGGAAGGGAGUAAAGUUAAUACCUUUGCUCAUUGACGUUACCCGCAGAAGAGGCACCGGCUAACUCCGUGCCAGCAGCCGCGGUAAUACGGAGGGUGCAAGCGUUAAUCGGAAUUACUGGGCGUAAAGCGCACGCAGGCGGUUUGUUAAGUCAGAUGUGAAAUCCCCGGGCUCAACCUGGGAACUGCAUCUGAUACUGGCAAGCUUGAGUCUCGUAGAGGGGGGUAGAAUUCCAGGUGUAGCGGUGAAAUGCGUAGAGAUCUGGAGGAAUACCGGUGGCGAAGGCGGCCCCCUGGACGAAGACUGACGCUCAGGUGCGAAAGCGUGGGGAGCAAACAGGAUUAGAUACCCU
rnacentral:rRNA from 1 species